UAAAACACAGAGGUUUAUUUCUCGCUUACACUGAUAUCAAGCAAAAGAGGCUUGCUGCCAGAUGCACAACUAGCCAAUACUAUGGCAGUAGGUUUUUGAGAAAAUAAAAGCUUUGUAUAGCAGGUUAACUUCCAAGGAGACAGGAGUCCCACUGAAAUCUGUCUCCCUAUGCUGGCUUUAAGGCAGUAAUUUUACCAGGAAAGGUUCAGGGGGUGGAUUCUGGGAUUAGCCAGUGAUUGGUGGAAGCAAAGCAGAGGUCUGGGACGUCCUCUGGCAUGCACAGUUCUCUCUCAUGCCUCCUUAGGGGGUCCCAUGUGAAAACUUGAGGAGUUAGUAUGAAACUUUGGGUUGUGACUGCAGCAAGCUGGUUCUGCACAGACUCCACUUAGCCAUAUUGUUUCCAAUUCAUUUCAGCCAGUUCUUUUAUCUCAUAAGUGGAGGGAGUGGUUCACAUUUCCACAAGUUGUUUCUUAUCUGCCAUCCUGCAAACUCAAGAAUUUCUGUUAGUUACUGAUUUCUUUAACUCUUUGGGGCAUGGCUUCAACAUCGUAGUCACAGUUCAGGUGGCUUUCUUUCACGUGAUUCAGAUAACUCAGGAAUGCAGGCUGCCAUCUGAAGUACCGGCUUCCAACGUCACCACACAAUGGACAGAGAGAACAUGGAACUGAGUAUGAAGGGUAGAACUGGGCCUAGAAGUGUCAUCUGUUUUGUCCACUGGCCAGAACAUUUCAUUGGCCAGAAUGCAGUCACAUGACCCCUCCUCAACUGCAAAGCAAAUUGGGAAACAUGGCUGCCUGUGUGCCCAGGAAGAGGACGUAAAUUGUUGGCUAUCUGGCCAAUUAAUGCCCAGACAGGGAUUCAGAAAUUGUGGCCAUGUCCUGUGAAAGCAAUUCUAACCAAACAACAAAGAAUCUGUAAUUUUGAUUCCUUGUACAAAUAAUUUGUUGACCUGAGAGUAAUAUGGACUUCUCUGAAUUCCUAAAACUUGUAUAUACUUAUCAGUUUCUUGUUCAGACAUAAGAAGAUCAUUGGCAUCUAUUAAUACCUCUUUACAGGCAGGGCGCAGUGGCUCAUGCUUGUAAUCUCAGCACUUUGGGAGACUGAGGCAGGUGGAUCACCUGAGGUCAGGAGUUGGAGACCAGCCUGGCCAGCAUGGUAAAACCCUAUCUCUACUAAAAAUACAAAAAAAUUAGCCAGGCAUGGUUGUGGGUGCCUGUAACCCCAGCUACUUGGGAGGCUGAAGCAGGAGAAUUGCUUGGACCCAGGAGGUGGAGGUUGCAGUGAGCCGAGAUCACGUCAUUGCACUCCAGACUGGCCAAAAGAGUGAGACUCUGUCUCAAAAAGAAAACCUCUUUACUGCACUAUGGACUGCUGCUCGCUUU
rnacentral:lncRNA from 1 species